CUCACCGUUUUUGGCACCAGGAACUGGUUUCUUGGAAGACAAUUUUUCCACAGACGGGAAGUCAACAGAACACUGCAAACACUGAGCCUGAGCCUUGUGUACUUUCGCUCUGUCUCUUGGACCUUUCACCACGUGAAUGAGCCUAGCCCAGCCUGCUAAAGGAUGGAGACCACACGGAACAGAGCUGAGUCCCCCCAUUGAGGACAUCCUAGACCUGUCAAUCUGUCAGCUAACUGCUGAUGCAUGAGCCAGCUCAUUUGAGACCAGCUGAUCCCAGAGCAAAUCAUCAAAACCACCA
rnacentral:lncRNA from 1 species